rnacentral:lncRNA from 1 species
GUUUUACUGCAUUGAACAAGAAUAUAUAUUAAGAAAUGCAUAAAGCCAAUACAAUUAAAAAUUGUAAAAUUGCAAAAAUCAACAGCUUUUUGUGGUAAAAUCGACAAAAGAUAACGUAUGGUUUUCUAGCGUUUUCCUUUUGUGCUAACAUCAAAGCUGUUUUGUUCGCCUGUUCAACUCGUGCUUUUGGACUACUGCACAAGCCCUUUGUUGAAGAAUUUCGCGGAUCGUCCCGAGCGCUCGAACUGCACAAGUUACCCGGAGGGGGUUUUCAAGGAUGGUACAAUCACCGCUGUUCCCGAUCUUCUCUCUGGGCCCCCGGGUACCUGCUGGGUUUUGUUCCGGCAGAGCCCUUUCUUUGAAUUCUGACUGG